rnacentral:rRNA from 1 species
AGCGAACGCUGGCGGCAGGCUUAACACAUGCAAGUCGAGCGGGCACUUCGGUGUCAGCGGCAGACGGGUGAGCAACACGUGGGAACGUACCCUUUGGUUCGGAAUAACGCUGGGAAACUAGCGCUAAUACCGGAUACGCCCUUUUGGGGAAAGGCUUGCUGCCGAAGGAUCGGCCCGCGUCUGAUUAGCUAGUUGGUGGGGUAAUGGCCUACCAAGGCGACGAUCAGUAGCUGGUCUGAGAGGAUGAUCAGCCACACUGGGACUGAGACACGGCCCAGACUCCUACGGGAGGCAGCAGUGGGGAAUAUUGGACAAUGGGCGCAAGCCUGAUCCAGCCAUGCCGCGUGAGUGAUGAAGGCCUUAGGGUUGUAAAGCUCUUUUGUCCGGGACGAUAAUGACGGUACCGGAAGAAUAAGCCCCGGCUAACUUCGUG